rnacentral:rRNA from 1 species
CGCGUAGGCGGGGAUACAAGUCAGGUGUAAAAUCUAUGGGCUUAACCCAUAAACUGCACUUGAAACUGUAUCUCUUGAGUGUCGGAGAGGUAGACGGAAUUCCUAGUGUAGCGGUGAAAUGCGUAGAUAUUAGGAGGAACACCAGUGGCGAAGGCGGUCUACUGGACGAUAACUGACGCUGAGGCGCGAAAGCGUGGGGAGCAAACA